AUGACUUUGGGUGUUUAGCUAAAAUAAAUUUAAAGUUGAAAGCGCCUGUUUCUUACAUGUACAACGCUAAACGAGAUUUUCAUGGGAAUUUGUUAAAGCCGUGAGUCUAAUAGCAGUCGUGGGAACGUGAAACGAAGGAAACUAAAGUUAUCGAACAAUGUUGAAUGCUGUCCCAUACGUGAAGCAAAACCUGUUGAAAAACGAAAGCAGACGCUAACUUCCAGUACACGGUUACCCUUCUGAUUACAAGACGCGAUCUGAUUUUUAAUAACAUAUGGUUUUGCUUAAACACCAUAUCGACGAAAGGAAAAUUAAAAUUUAACAUUGCUUCGAGAAAAUUAUAAGUUACGCUUAUCAAAUGCACUUUAAAGUAUAAGCGUUCGUCGACAUGAAUUACUAAGCGGUGUAAAUUAAGUGGGAUCCAGUUUUACUAAGGCGCGAACUCAUUGCGCGUUGCCGGCAUGCUAAGGGCUUUGGAUGAAAUAUUUAAAAAUAUUAUAUAUAUGAAUUAAUAUUGCAAGCUGUGAAGUUUCUGCUUUUCUGAAUGUAAUCCAUCCCGAAUUGAUUUUAAGGGAGGAAAUGACAUUUUUCGCAUAGAAUUCAAUAAAUUUCUUGUGAUUGGAAUAUCAUAAAAGAAAGCAUAAAUCUUGUAAGCAGAGAAACAGGAGUAAAAGGUGUAUUUAUUUCGGCUUGAAACUGAAAAAUGUCGAUUUAGUUAAUUCAUGUUAAUAAUAAUAUCGGAAGAUAUGAGAACGGUGUCAUCAAUCCUUUCCAGAAACACCGGCAUUGUUGCGAUCGCUUACAUAAAUAAUAGAAACUCGGCACGCUGCCAGAUGUAUUGGUAUUGUUGUCUGCAGGCAUAACACAUUCAUCUACUCAAACAAAAUUUAGAUGAAGUACGAAAAAUAAAGGUUAAGUACAUGAAUAACUAAUGCAGCGAGCUUUCGGAUUUUAUGGUAAUCGCCAUAAUAUAACAAGUUGAAGUGGCAUGAUGCGCUCACGUUUUUCACGCAAAGCUCGACAAACUGUUUAUAAUUGAAAUUUUGUAAAAGAAAAUGUGAACCC